rnacentral:rRNA from 1 species
GACGAACGCUGGCGGCGUGCUUAACACAUGCAAGUCGAACGGAAAGGCCCCUUUGGGGGUACUCGAGUGGCGAACGGGUGAGUAACACGUGAGUAACCUGCCCUUGACUUCGGGAUAACUUCAGGAAACUGGGGCUAAUACCGUAUAGGAAUCCUUGCUGCAUGGUGGGGGUUGGACAGCUUCGGCGGUUUUGUAUGGACUCGUGGCUUAUCAGCUUGUUGGUGGGGUAGUGGCUUACCAAGGCUUUGACGGGUAGCCGGCCUGAGAGGGCGACCGGCCACAUUGGGACUGAGAUACGGCCCAGACUCCUACGGGAGGCAGCAGUGGGGAAGAUUGCACAAUGGGCGGAAGCGUGAUGCAGCAACGCCGCGUGCGGGAUGACGGCCUUCGGGUUGUAAACCGCUUUCAGCAGGGGCGAAGCUUGUGGUGACGGUACCUGCAGAAGAAGCACCGGCUAACUACGUG